UACGUAGGUGGCAAGCGUUGUCCGGAUUUACUGGGCGUAAAGAGCGUGUAGGCGGCCGCACAGGUCCGUUGUGAAAACUGGAGGCUCAACCUUCAGACGUCGAUGGAAACCGUGCGGCUAGAGUCCGGAAGAGGAGAGUGGAAUUCCUGGUGUAGCGGUGAAAUGCGCAGAUAUCAGGAAGAACCCCCGUGGCGAAGGCGGCUCUCUGGGACGGUACUGACGCUGAGACGCGAAAGCGUGGGGAGCGAACAGG
rnacentral:rRNA from 1 species